rnacentral:rRNA from 1 species
GUCGAGCGAACAGAAAGGAGCUUGCUCCUUUGACGUUAGCGGCGGACGGGUGAGUAACACGUGGGCAACCUACCCUAUAGUUUGGGAUAACUCCGGGAAACCGGGGCUAAUACCGAAUAAUCUCUUUUGCUUCAUGGCGAAAGACUGAAAGACGGUUUCGGCUGGCCCUCUAGGAUGGGCCCGCGGCGCAUUAGCUAGUUGGUGAGGUAACGGCUCACCAAGGCGACCAUGCGUAACCGACC